rnacentral:lncRNA from 1 species
CUACCAACCUUCAUCGAGUAGAAUAAUCCUGGUUUUGGGCAUCAGGGUAUUGGGACACCAUGGAAGGAGACCCAUUCACUUCUCUUACUGUUCCCACCUCCCUCUUACAAAUCCAACCACCUAUUCCACUUCUAGUGAGUUUUUGUAUUUUUGAACUAUUUUUUCCUUUCAUACCAUUUGAUUAGCACUUAAACAUUUUUCCUUGCUGGCAAGUUCAUUGCCUCUGUACAAGAUCUCCAAGGAGUAGUGGGACAUUAUUUCCGUCAUAUAUCAGCUUGCGAACAAAAAUGGCAAAUACCUCGAGCUCAUAGAGAAAAACAUCCACUUCAUCAAGCACGAACUUAUGGCCUUUCAAGGUAAAUUAUAAUUGUUUACCUCGAGUAUGCUGAGCUCAAAUCUAUAUGUACUAAUACGUGUUGUUUUGCAGAAUACUUUUUGAAGAAGAAGCCAUUAAAGCUCGAAAACCACUUUUGCUGCUUGCAAGAAACAAAAUGAUCAAUUACAAAAGGAAAAUAAAGGUUGCCUAUCAAUGAUGUGGAAAAAGAAAAAGAACAUGACGAGACAGUCAAGCCUUUGGACUAGAAAAAGAGAACCGAGGCCUUUGGUGCCUCUUCAUCCGGUCCUACCAUUGCUAUCAGGGCAAUUUGCUCACCUCCAUAUCAGAUACCCAUCUAAGUGAAAAUGUCUGCAAAUUCUCCUCAUCCUCCUCUCAUUGCCCAGCAUUCUAGAAGCACUAUUUAGCUAAGCUUGCAUCCUAUGAAAAUGAAUGAGACGAAGGAGCAUGAAUUUCAAGGCAAAAAAGUCUGUGAAUCCACCUUGAAACGAGAAAGUAAAUUAUUUUUUCAGGGUUAAUAGUAAGGAGCUCGCAAAAGAUGCAACUACAAUACUUCUUUUGAAGAUACUAGGCUAUAGCGAGAGGUGGCAAAAUCAAGUUGCCUAUUACUAGGCUAAAAUCUCCUGUAGAUAAAUAAUGCUUGGGUGGCUCAUGGUCUAGGGAUUGGCCUCAUUACUCAAGAUUUGUUGCAUGAUUUUCAAAAUCGAAAUAAGCAUUGACGGAUCGAUUAGAGGCCUCCUCUAAGCUGGAGGAAAAGUUGAUGAAAGUGAAGGCAUAAGGUAAAAAUGUUGAGCUUGCUUAUGAAAACGUAGGUUAAGAUGAGUUGGAUUUUGUUGAGUUCAAGGUUAGUCGCUUUGAAAUAGAACUAGAUUAAGCUGAUCUCAAGUGUCUACCUUAGUCAAGAUGGUCAACUAAUCCAAUAAACACAAACGCCUCAUAGAUAAAACCCUGUAAGCCUUGAAAAAAGAAAAGAGAUAGAGAUGAGGCAGAUUGAGAGGCUCAAAAUGAAGAAAUUAAAUCUUUGAAGGCUAACAUGGCUAUGGUAGGUGAAGUAGCAAUCAAGAACUAGGUUGAUAACUUUGAAAAGACUAAGAAUUAUGGCAACUUUGCCAACUAUUGAGCCUUCAAAAAUCUUUGAAAGCUGAUGUGGCUCGGAUGAGGGAGGCUCAUUUGGAAUCGAAUAUCAACUUUUAGGAGGAUAAGUUUAGUAGGGGCCAACUGAAGAUCACCCAAACAUCAAGGCCAAUGCCAAUGAAGCUCAUGAUGAGACGAGGCGAUUAAGCUGAAGCAAUGAUUGUUGUAGAUGUAGUGGUACAUCCUUAGGCUACCUUUCUUUUUUCAUUUCACUAAACUUUUUGUAAAGGCUUGGGACUCCUCAUUUGUAAUCUAUUUUCCCAUCAAUGAAAAUUUUAUUUUCAAAGGGUUAUUGCUUCUUGCUUUUCCUUGUAUGCAUGCUACUUUUCUUUCAUGUUGUUACCUCAUUGUAUAUCGAAUAGCACCUCAUCAUCAUUAAUUCAAACUUACAUGCUUAACUAUUUUGCACCACUCUGUUGAAGCGAAAAAUGGUUCCUUGCAUGGUGGAUGGUUCAUCCAUGUCAAAGGAUAAUGAGGUCUAUUUCGUAGGAUUUGAGGUUGGCUCUCUUUGGGAUGAUUCAUACCUCUCCUGUAAAAGCAACACAGACUUCCUUGCAUGAUGGAUGAUUCAUCCAUGUUAAGAGAUAAUGAGGUCUACUUCGUAGGGUUCAAGGUAGGUUUUAUUUGGGAUGCUUUAUACCUCAUUUGUCAAAGUGAAAAGUACUUCCUUACUUGGUGAAUGGUUCAUCCAUGUUAAUGGAUGAUGAGGUCUACUUUGUAGGUUUCUAGUAAAAUCCCUCUGGGAUGCUGAGUACCUCUCUUGAAGCAGUAAAAACUUCUUUGAAUGGUGGAUGGUUCAUCCAUGUUAAAGGAUAAUGAGUUGUGCUUCAUGGGGUUCGAGGUGGGCUUCCUUUAGGAUGCUUCACACCUCUUCUAUCAAAGUGACAAAGAUUUACUUGGAUAGUAGAUCAUUCAUCCAUGUUAAAGGAUAAUGAUCUUUAUAAGUCUAAGGCUCAUCACCUCGUACGAAAGAAUAUGGUUGAAGAUAUUGAUGAGAAAAUUUUAUAUAAAUUGGGAGAGAUCAUCUAGUCGGAAGGGUAAUGUGCUAUGUUCACUGAUAGUACUUAAGAAAAUGCUCUAUAUUCCAAGGGAGAGGUUGUAUCUUUCCAUCCAUAUCUUCAAUUUUGUAUGUUCCAAGAUAUAGCUCUUCUUUGAUGGGAUAGAGACCCUUUCAAUUGUGGCCCAAUAUUUUUAUGCUUAGUUCUUUUGAGAAGAGGAAUAUCUUUCUCAAAACUAAGUCUUCUAUACAAAGUGGCAUCUUCUUCACUUUAGCAUUGUAGUAGUGGGGUCAUUUUUGUUGGUUUGAGAUGAGCUUUUCUUGUGAAUCAUGUCUCAUUUCUUCAAGAAAAUCGAAGCGUUCCUCAUCAACUCAUCGUUGGUAAUCUCGUUCAAGUGCUGGAUAUAAGGUAAAGAUAAUCCCACCUCAACUACAAUCAUGGCUUCAAUUCCAUAGACCAUAGAGAAACAGGUUUCUUCGAUAAAGUUCUACUUGUCAUACAGAUAGCCUACAACAUUUAAGAGAGCUUGUGAACCUAUACUACUUUAGAACUGCCAAGUUUUCUAUCCAAAGUAUACUUGAUGUUUUCUGACAACUUCAUCCUAGGCAUUUGCUUGAGGAAGGUAAGGUGUGGAGAAGUACUUCUUGAUUCUCAACUGUUAAUAGAACAAAGGUUUGGCAUCUACCCAUUUAGUAGAGUAAUCUAUGAUGACAAUAGUGUAGGACACACUACUUUUUCUUUUGGCUAAACACAAUUAGGAGCUCAGUGAAGGACUGCCUCUGCAUUGGCAUUUAUCGCACUUGCACACAAGUUGAAAGGCAUCAUUUUGUCAAGUAUAACAGUAAUAUUCCUACUUAAGUACCUUUUAUGUAAGUGCAAGUCCUACAAUAUGAUUAUUACAUACACUUUUAUAAACUUUCCUGAUAAUGUACGUUGCCUCGUCUUCUCUUGUGCAUCGAAUGAAAGAUGAUGAGAAGCCUAUCUUGUAUAGGACUUCGUCUUGGAGAAUAAAAUGUAGUGUUAUCCUUCUAAGUGUGUAUGUUUCAUCCUUAUUAUCAGGGAAUCUAAUCUUUUAGGAAGACUAUGAGGGUACUUCAACCCACCUCACCACCUCUUCCAUGGAUAUGGGUGGCCUGGAGAGUUGUUCAAUUUGCACCAUCUUGAACAGCUAGAAAUCUUUGCUUUUGGCCAUCUUGAAAUCUUUACUGUUGAUCAGCUUGGUAAUGCAUCAAAAUGGACAUUUUACCUCUCCAGAUGAACUACAUGAGGAGGCUCCAAAUUGGUAGCUUAAUGGUUCCAUCUUCGCCUCUAUCUCAGGGGCAUUAAAAUACUUCGCAACAAAGUCUACAAGGCUUUAACUCUUAUGGAGGUUAUUGAAUUGAAGAUAAUGUCAAAGUCACUCAGUCAUAAAAAAUAUUUCAUCAACCUAACAAAAACGUCUAGCUUUUGAAGCACAUGAUUGAGUACGAGCUUCUUCAUUUCAGGGUACUGAGCCUUCGCUUAUAGGAAGGCUUUGCUCACUCACACAGUAUAUGGCAGUUGGUGGUUGCUUUCUUGUCUUACAUGAACUAAGUUGAUUGUCUUUUUAGAUGAGCCAAAUUAUAGUUGUAGGGGCUCAUGAACAUUUUGGAUAGGAAAGAGAGAGGCCCUAGCCUACGUACUUUCCAAUUCUUGGAAAGCUUAUCCAUACUCUUCUAUCCAUUGAAAUUUCUCCUUUCCUUUAAGUACUUUAAAGAAGAGAAGGCAUUUGCCUGUGGAUUUUGAGACAAAGCGACUCAGGGUCUGCCACCUAUCUACUGAGGCUCUGUACCCUUUUUGGAGCAAGCUUGAUUAUGAUUGCAAAAGUUUGUGUAAACUCUCCACUUGCCAUUAUGCUUUUUCGUGAAAUCUGUAUUGGAGAUCCACCUCGGAUAUUAGAUUUUCCUAUUGAAGCCAUUGGUUAUAAGCUUCUCAACCUCUUCAUUUAGCUUUGUUUAUCUUAAAGUUGUAACAGCUCACCUUUUCGUCUAUUCCCACGAUAUCUUUAUGGUUUUGAGAAGAGAUAUCUAAGUUUUACAUAGUAAACUUUUGAGCUUCUCAUUUACAUUUCUUCGCAGUUUCUUCUCGACUUGUAGUGACUUCGUAGGAUCUUGAGAAUCCACGAAGAACUCUCCAGCUCUUUCAUUAGGCUGCUUGUGAAUCAGACUUAGUGAUUGAGGGUCUAAUUCAUUAUAUAUGACCUCUUCUACAAGGGCUUAUAUCAUCUCAGUGUUUUCCCAUUUUUAGUAAUCUGUCCUUUUCAAAGAACAUUGAUCAUUUUGGUAUCGAUCAUCAUCGUGUUAAUCUCACAGGGGGUACUUUCCUUAUAGAAUUCAAUUAGCAUUCCUUAGCCUCCCUUUGAUUGCCUCUGACACUGGUAAUACCGUUCUUCAUAGAGAACUUCAUACAUAAGUGAUAUAUGGAGGUAAUUGCCCAUUGUUCCUUCAAGGAAGUCUUCCCAAGCCCCCAUAGUAGGUUGAUCUGCUAUGAACCACAAGUAGUGUUUUAAAAGACUAAAGCGUUACUAACCGUGGAUGCCAAACUUUAAGCUUUACGAGCAUAGGUGAGCCUCG